rnacentral:rRNA from 1 species
UACGGAGGGUGCAAGCGUUAUCCGGAUUCACUGGGUUUAAAGGGUGCGUAGGCGGAUAGGUAAGUCCGUGGUGAAAUCCUGCAGCUUAACUGCAGAACUGCCGUGGAUACUAUCUAUCUUGAAUAUCGUGGAGGUUAGCGGAAUAUGUCAUGUAGCGGUGAAAUGCUUAGAUAUGACAUAGAACACCCAUUGCGAAGGCAGCUUGCUACACAGUCAUUGACACUGAGGCACGAAAGCGUGGGGAUCAAACAGG